rnacentral:lncRNA from 1 species
CUACAUAAAAAUUAUAAAUAGUAACUUACAAUCCUUUCCUCAUUGCAAGGGCCCAGAGAAAGAAGUUGUUAGAUAUGCAUUAAAAUUUAAUUACUAUCAAAUGCCCCAGAAUAUAUACAGAUGUUGUUGAAUGCUAUAAAAAAUAUUUGGAAAAUAAGCACUCGGUUGUAGAAUACCACUUUAACCACCAUCUAUUCCCAUCCUGGCGAACGGCAUUCAGCAAAUAGCAAAAAGGCCUUCAGUUUUUACUCAGUAAAAGCUUGCUCUACAGCAUUAUCUUCUGAAUUUAAUAUAUUUUUUCUGAAUGAUAGCUUUCCUCUGUCAUCCAAGCACAAAAAGCCUGUGGUAAUUGUCAUGGUGUCUGAUUCAUUGUCCAAAGUAUCUUCAUGGAUAGUGUUAAUCAAAUCUGGGAACGUUCACUUCCACAGCCGCCGGUGGCUCGGCAUUCUCAGGCUGCGGUCUUGGUAUCCAGCCUCUAACAGCAUCUCUUGCUGUGUUAAACAGCUAUUCAGUAUGUAUAGUUGUUGGUCUUGACCUUUUCCUCUUCUGGUAUUCAGAUUAACAGAAGGUAGAGUGGCUGAGAGGCCUCACUGAUGAAAUCUUUGUGCUUGAUUCUUAAUUCAGAAUAUGGUGGUAAUAAUAGUUCUUGGCUUAAGCACAAUCCGUUUUAAAAGUCCUGUAAUUGCUAAAUUAUAAUAAUCACAAUCAUGUGAGAUGACUGCCACGGAGGAGAUCAGGAAAUAUGCUUCUCUAUUUUAAAAAGAUGUCUAUUUAAUCCAUUUCAAAGCCUGCCUGCUUGAAGCGAUACACAGCCAGUAUUUCAAUUAUACAAUUUUUAAGAGGCUAUCGCUGCAAUCACUUACUUGGAAAUAAUGAGGACCUUCCCAUUCCAUCGCAUCCUGCCAUAUGAUAGUGUGUGCGCCAGUCCUUUGUGUCUACUGAGAAUCAGUCUCAGGAUAGCAGCAAAUUCGUUGAACCUGGUUAGGCACUGGCUUAAAAAACA